AUUUUAUUAAAUAGUAAAUUAAAGAAAUUGUUAGAUUAAACAGCUGAACCUGUUGUCUUAUUAAAAGAGUAAUAGUACUUACUAAGUGAAUAAACUUUAAAUUUCCUAACAGCUGACUCCUAGGGGAGUAGCGUGAGUCCGGAGACUACAGGCUCCGGCCACGCCCCAGGAAAGCAUGCUGUUAGGAAAUUAGACUUUAAAUAUAAAAAGGAUCCAAG
rnacentral:ncRNA from 1 species